GCUUGGUUAGCUCAGUUGGUUAGAGCGUUGCACUAAUACACGACAUAUGUCCUGUUCAUGCAAAGGUCACAGGUUCGACCCCUGUACUGAGCA